GCCUCUGUGGAUCAGUGUUAGAUCACCUCUCCAAAAUGAUCAGGGAAGUCCUUGCAGGAGGAGAAGUGGGUUCGGAUCCCACCAGGGGCA